rnacentral:rRNA from 1 species
GAUGAACGCUGGCGGCGUGCCUAAUACAUGCCAGUCGAGCGAACGGACGAGAAGCUUGCUUUUCUGAUGUUAGCGGCGGACGGGUGAGUAACACGUGGAUAACCUACCUAUAAGACUGGGAUAACUUCGGGAAACCGGAGCUAAUACCGGAGAAUAUCUUGAACCGCAUGGGUCAAAAGUGAAAGACGGUCUUGCGGGCAGGUAUAGAUGGAUACGCGCUUCAUUAGGUAGUUGGUAAGGUAACGGGUUACCAAGGCAACGAUGCAUAAACGACCUCACGGGGUGAUCGGCCGCAUUAGAACUUGGCCAGCGUCCAUACUCCUACGAGACGCCGCAGUCGGCAACCUGCCGCAACGGGCGAAAGCCUGACGGAGCAACGCCGCGUGAGUGGUGAAGACCUUCCGAUCGUAAAGCCCUGUUAUUAGGGAAGAACCUCUUUGUACGGAGCUGUGCACAUCUUGACGGUACCUAAUCAGAAAGCCACGGCUAACUACGUG